GUAAACUUUGAAAUUAUAUUUUGGGUUGUUUUUUUUUUCCUGCCAAAAUCUGCUCCGGGCCCAUCUGUCCUCCUCUUGAGCCGUCUGGGACUGGACAAACAGCAGCGCGUCAUUACCUGGUCUGAUUAGAGCUGGAUGGCUGCAGGCGGCCACCAUGGGGCUCUGCACCUGCCUCUUCUGCCAGACAAGCCAAGGGCCUGAAUUGACAACUGUUAGCAUCCCGGCAGGCGGAGCGGCUCAACUGUCGGCAGAGG